ensembl:lncRNA
CUGGGGUGUGUGUGUGUGUGGUCUCCAUCCAAAUAAACUGAACAAGAUGUCAAUAAAUGCAUGUGUCACCUGAUACACAAAUGCAUUGUGCAUGCAUCUAUUAAUCAUUUUGAGUCCAAUAUCAUCCCAUAUUAUGAGCAAUGUUUUUGAUUCAGACAAAUGUAGUAAUAACAAAAAAAAACUAAUUGUCACAUCUGGCUUUUACCAAUUAGUGAUUCGAGCUAAGGUCAUUGGAAAGGUGUCCAGCACUCUCCUUCAAUUAACUGCAUACAAAAUCCAAACUAUUCAGACAUUUAAGCAAUCAGACAAGAAGAGAAUUCAGGUCAUCUAUACUCCUCAAACCUCAUGUGGCGUCAGUCUGAAAAACGGCGAGUACCUGCUGUCAGGUAAAAUCAUUUACUUAUGUCUAGGCAGAGUUUGAGUUGAAACUGAACACCAUGAUUCCUGAUGCUGGUUGUUAACAUCAGUUGAGGCUGAAAUAUGCUACACAUUAUGCCCAGAUUUUUAGCCCAGUUUGGACAGGAUUUGGGCUGUGAUUUGACAGAUUUCACAGAAAAUCACGUUGUGUAUUCAAUUAUUUCACUUCACUUUUUUUUUUUUUUUUUUUUUUUUUUUUUUUUUGGUCGUUGUCAAUUUAUGUGACCUUGUGAAGCCUUGGAACAAACUCUCCCGAGUUCAAAAGGCGUCCCUCAGCAUGUAUCAGAGAGGCUGUGUCUGUGAGGUAAUAAUCCAAAUCAUACUUUUACAAUUGACCGUAGUCUAACUUAUUCCGAGUUCAGUGCUGUUGAAAUCCAUUGGCUUUCGUUUUCACCCCAACCAAAUUUUCUGCCAUUUUGAAUUGUUAAACACUUACUCAAACUCUGGCUUAAAUCAUUUUCAGAAUCUUUUAUAAAGCAGUUUAAUGCAAAAAUAACAAUGCUGAGUGUAUAAAUGUAUGCAUAUUCUUAUGAUUAAACUUGCUCUGUAGAGAAGGACCAAACUGUAGACCUUUUUAUUUAAAAAAAAAAGAAAAAAAAAAAGGUCUGCACCAAAAGGUCCGAAACCAGCCCCCGAAAAAAGUAUUAAAACAGUUGCUGUGUUAUAGAUAUGAAUUCAGUCAUCUCUCAAACUGUGAUCUCUACAGAUCUCACCUUGUACUGGAGCGUCCUGUUUGAUUGAGAUUCUUCAGAAAAAAUGUCUGAUAAGAGUCACUUCAUCCGGUCUUGAUAAAAAGGCUCUUCAGUCUAUUUGCCUGCCAGGCAGGGGUGGCUUCUGCAGUUGGCAACAAAUUCCUGAUAAAUAACUACAAAUGCUCCUAAAAAUGAUGCCCUGAAGAACAAGUGCAUCAGCCAUUCAGCAGUGUGCAUUUUUGCCCUUUUGUUCUCCAGAAUGCUUAGAACAUUUUGAAGUUAAUUUAAACAAUUUAAUGAAGCUUUGCAAUGCAUUCAGCGAAUACAUAAAUACUUUUCAUGGAGAUAUGCAACCAACCAUUAAACUAUUUUGCAUGUAAAAGCAUCUGUGUGUAUUUAAUGGGAAAUGUAAGCAUGUUUAUAUAAAUAUGGAUGUUCUUGGUGUCCGAAGCAUUCAUUUUGGGUUUUUUUUUUUUGUUUUUUUUUUGUUUUUUUUUUUCUAUUCUGAUGAACAUUGAGUUAAAGUAUGGUUUAAUUUAACCUCUUAACGGUCACCCGUCCCCUCUGCGGGAUGCCGGUUUACUUGUGUGUGUGUGUGUGUGUGUGUGUGUGUAUAUAUAUAUAUAUAUUGGGAUGCUGGUUUACUUCACUAUAUUACAAUUAAAUCCUAAUCAAGUCAUGACAAACUAUAUAUCGUUGGAAAUGACUAAGAUUCCUAAAUGGAUAUUUUACCAGUGUUUUUUGUUAAAUUAUGUAGGAAAAGAUUAAUUUAUGAUGAGUGCACCUCAAAUCUACAUAACAGGAGUUCCCUUUCAGGAACUCGAGCUGCUCUCGAAAAUGCUUGGGGAACACAAAUCAGUCCAGUGGAAUGGCAAAACAUCACAGAUGGGGCGAUGUAGAGACCAGUGAGCUUAAGGUUUCCUCCAGGCUGUCAGCGCUGACUGGACUCAACUUCACUCCUGUACUGAAAACAUUAGAAGACGACCUUCACUGCUGGCUCAAUUUACCACUUUCCAUCCAGGGGCAGAAUAGCUAUAAUUAAAAUGACUACUCCCAAAAAUAAACUACUUAUUCUCAAUAAUCCCAACCUACUUUUCACUUGAUUCAAAUCUUUAGUCCAUCACCCGAUACUACUGUGAAAAAUAAACCACCAUGGCUAAAAUUAAGCACUUUACAAAAACACAUCUUUGGGAGGCUUCGAAGCCCCACAUUUUUACCAUUACUCACUAGCAAACUAACUUCAAUACAUAUAUAAAUGGACUCACCCCACUCAGUCAGACAUGAAUAUGGCUAGAUAUAGAACAAUCACUCUGUAAAAAAUUGCCCAUAUAGACAUCCCAUUUCUCAGUCAGUCCAUUAAACACCACCCAUGCUUCAAAGCCUUGAGAAUAGUGUUGGUUCUGACAGCCUGGUGGAAAUAUCACCAAAUCGCAAACUCCAAUCAGGCUCCAUCUAACCUCACCCCACUUUGGAACAACCCUGACUACACAAGCAAAAAAAAAAAACACUACAUUUCAAUAAAUGGUGUGGGAUUACAAAUUUAUACUAUUUUAUAUCUAGGUUCUAAUGUAAUAAUAAACUAAAAACAGUUAUGUACAUUGUGUAUUACAUUUUGAGGUUAAAGGGUUAGUUCAGCCAAAAAUGAAAAUUAUGUCAUUAAUGACUCACCCUCAUGUCGUUCAAUGUUCAUCAGAAUAUGAGCGCGUUCACAACACUGCAGUGUAGCCGCUGACGUACGACGCUGCUGACGUGUUUUCUUUGUUAUUGGGCACACCAGAGAACACGUCAGCAGCGUCGUACGUCAACAGUCACAGCAGUCGCGUUCACAACAGACCCGGAAGAGAAGAAAAUGAUGAAUAAAGUCGUAAUUUUUGUUAUUUUUGGAGCAAAAUGUAUUUUCAACGCUUCAAUAAAUUCUAACGGACCCUGUGAUGUCACAUGGACUACUUUGAUGUUUUUAUUACCUUUCUGGACGUGGACAGUAUACCGUACAUUCUCAAUGGAGGGACUGAAAGCUCUCGGACUAAAUCUAAAAUAUCUUAAACUGUGUUCCGAAGAUGAACGGAGGUCUUACGGGUUUGGAACGACAUGAGGGUGAGUCAUUAAUGACAUAAUUUU